GACGAACCGUGCUAACGUUGUUCGGAAUCACUGGGCUUAAAGGGCGCGUAGGCGGGCAAGCAAGUCGAAGGUGAAAUCCCACGGCUCAACCGUGGAAGUGCCCCCGAUACUGCUUGUCUGGAGGGAGAUAGGGGCGUGCGGAACUUCCGGUGGAGCGGUGAAAUGCGUAGAUAUCGGAAGGAACACCGGUGGCGAAAGCGGCGCGCUGGAUCUCUUCUGACGCUGAGGCGCGAAAGCCAGGGGAGCAAACGGG
rnacentral:rRNA from 1 species